GUGAACUCGAAGAGUAGGGCGGGACACGUGGUAUCCUGUCUGAAUAUGGGGGGACCAUCCUCCAAGGCUAAAUACUCCUGACUGACCGAUAGUGAACCAGUACCGUGAGGGAAAGGCGAAAAGAACCCCGGCGAGGGGAGUGAAAAAGAACCUGAAACCGUGUACGUACAAGCAGUGGGAGCACCUUCGGGUGUGACUGCGUACCUUUUGUAUAAUGGGUCAGCGACUUAUAUUCUGUAGCAAGGUUAACCGUAUAGGGGAGCCGCAGGGAAACCGAGUCUUAACUGGGCGUUAAGUUGCAGGGUAUAGACCCGAAACCCGGUGAUCUAGCCAUGGGCAGGUUGAAGGUUGGGUAACACUAACUGGAGGACCGAACCGACUAAUGUUGAAAAAUUAGCGGAUGACUUGUGGCUGGGGGUGAAAGGCCAAUCAAACCGGGAGAUAGCUGGUUCUCCCCGAAAGCUAUUUAGGUAGCGCCUCGUGAACUCAUCUUCGGGGGUAGAGCACUGUUUCGGCUAGGGGGUCAUCCCGACUUACCAACCCGAUGCAAACUACGAAUACCGAAGAAUGUUAUCACGGGAGACACACGGCGGGUGCUAACGUCCGUCGUGAAGAGGGAAACAACCCAGACCGCCAGCUAAGGUCCCAAAGUCAUGGUUAAGUGGGAAACGAUGUGGGAAGGCACAGACAGCCAGGAUGUUGGCUUAGAAGCAGCCAUCAUUUAAAGAAAGCGUAAUAGCUCACUGGUCGAGUCGGCCUGCGCGGAAGAUGUAACGGGGCUAAACCAUGCACCGAAGCUGCGGCAGCGACACUAUGUGUUGUUGGGUAGGGGAGCGUUCUGUAAGCCUGCGAAGGUGACCUGUGAGGGUUGCUGGAGGUAUCAGAAGUGCGAAUGCUGACAUAAGUAACGAUAAAGCGGGUGAAAAGCCCGCUCGCCGGAAGACCAAGGGUUCCUGUCCAACGUUAAUCGGGGCAGGGUGAGUCGACCCCUAAGGCGAGGCCGAAAGGCGUAGUCGAUGGGAAACAGGUUAAUAUUCCUGUACUUGGUGUUACUGCGAAGGGGGGACGGAGAAGGCUAUGUUAGCCGGGCGACGGUUGUCCCGGUUUAAGCAUGUAGGCUGGUUAUCCAGGCAAAUCCGGAUAAUCAAGGCUGAGGUGUGAUGACGAGGCACUACGGUGCUGAAGUAACAAAUGCCCUGCUUCCAGGAAAAGCCUCUAAGCAUCAGGUAACAUCAAAUCGUACCCCAAACCGACACAGGUGGUCAGGUAGAGAAUACCAAGGCGCUUGAGAGAACUCGGGUGAAGGAACUAGGCAAAAUGGUGCCGUAACUUCGGGAGAAGGCACGCUGGUGUGUAGGUGAAGCCCCUGCGGGUGGAGCUGAGACCAGUCGAAGAUACCAGCUGGCUGCAACUGUUUAUUAAAAACACAGCACUGUGCAAACACGAAAGUGGACGUAUACGGUGUGACGCCUGCCCGGUGCCGGAAGGUUAAUUGAUGGGGUUAUCCGUAAGGAGAAGCUCUUGAUCGAAGCCCCGGUAAACGGCGGCCGUAACUAUAACGGUCCUAAGGUAGCGAAAUUCCUUGUCGGGUAAGUUCCGACCUGCACGAAUGGCGUAAUGAUGGCCAGGCUGUCUCCACCCGAGACUCAGUGAAAUUGAACUCGCUGUGAAGAUGCAGUGUACCCGCGGCAAGACGGAAAGACCCCGUGAACCUUUACUAUAGCUUGACACUGAACAUUGAGCCUUGAUGUGUAGGAUAGGUGGGAGGCUUUGAAGCGUGGACGCCAGUCUGCGUGGAGCCAACCUUGAAAUACCACCCUUUAAUGUUUGAUGUUCUAACGUUGGCCCCUUAUCGGGGUUGCGGACAGUGUCUGGUGGGUAGUUUGACUGGGGCGGUCUCCUCCCAAAGCGUAACGGAGGAGCACGAAGGUUAGCUAAUCCUGGUCGGACAUCAGGAGGUUAGUGCAAUGGCAUAAGCUAGCUUGACUGCGAGCGUGACGGCGCGAGCAGGUGCGAAAGCAGGUCAUAGUGAUCCGGUGGUUCUGAAUGGAAGGGCCAUCGCUCAACGGAUAAAAGGUACUCCGGGGAUAACAGGCUGAUACCGCCCAAGAGUUCAUAUCGACGGCGGUGUUUGGCACCUCGAUGUCGGCUCAUCACAUCCUGGGGCUGAAGUAGGUCCCAAGGGUAUGGCUGUUCGCCAUUUAAAGUGGUACGCGAGCUGGGUUUAGAACGUCGUGAGACAGUUCGGUCCCUAUCUGCCGUGGGCGCUGGAGAAUUGAGGGGGGCUGCUCCUAGUACGAGAGGACCGGAGUGGACGCAUCACUGGUGUUCGGGUUGUCAUGCCAAUGGCACUGCCCGGUAGCUAAAUGCGGAAGAGAUAAGUGCUGAAAGCAUCUAAGCACGAAACUUGCCCCGAGAUGAGUUCUCCCUGAGACUUUAAGUCUCCUGAAGGAACGUUGAAGACGACGACGUUGAUAGGCCGGGUGUGUAAGCGCAGCGAUGCGUUGAGCUAACCGGUACUAAUGAACCGUGAGGCUUAACCUU
rnacentral:rRNA from 1 species